AGGAAGCAGCUGGGGCCAGCUCCGGAAUCUCCAGCACAAAUCGGACGAUUCACAAUAUUCGGCAACAGGAGGAGAGGAACUCUGGACAGACAAGCAGAUGGAGGAAAGAUGAGCUCCGGCUUCCCAUUCCCUAAAUACUGAAGCUACGGUAUCCCAGGAGUCACUGUCAAGUAAUGCCUUGUCAACAUCUGUGGCCAACUUUGAAGCCUCCAUAUGAUUCAACAGACGAGCUCUAUUCCGGGCAUGAUUUCUAUUUAAAGACCAUGAGGGCUUACACGCUCAGACACCAUUCAAACCACGGAUUCUAAGAAAAAAACUGCUAAAUUUG